GAAAUACUGGAAACCCAUAGAUUCAAGUGCGGCAAAACUGGCGAUACGUGCUCCAGGGUGGCAGUAUGUUGUGAUGACUAUGAAUGCCACCAUCAUCCUGGUCAAAUGUCUGGGACAUGUGGUUCUCAACAUCAGCCACGCUAGCUAAACCCAUCAGGUCACGGCCGUCUAGUCAAACAAUUCAUUUUUUCAUACAUUAAUACACAAUCUUGUUUUCAAAUUUUAGUCAGUUUGAAGUAGUUUUCAGGUUUCAAAGUCAUAUUGGCUGCAAAGGCCGUCUAUUCAAACACUUCAUUCUGGUAUACAUUAGUACACAAUUUUGUUAAAAGUAAUUUUCAGGUUUCAAAGUUCUAGUGGCUUCCACAUUCUAUUGGCUGAAAAGCCGUAUAUUCAAACAAAUCAUACUGAAAAACAUUAGAACAAAAUCUUGUAAUUUGCAGGUUUCACAUUCCUAUUGGUGGUUUCUGCUAUAUAAAUCAGUGAACCAGUUUAGCAGAGCGUAAUGAUACACAAGAUGUCUCGGUUGCUACUCACAAAUCAUAAUUUUUUUAAACUCAUUACUACCAUUUAGUGUGCACUAAAUUUGUUCGGUCAAAAUAUUUUGCCGUGCCAAAGUGCUGGAUGAAAUUUGUUUUUGUCAAUAGUUAGUGAGGUUGUCCAUGUCAUUUCUCUUUGAAUCAAAGUAAUUUUUCAUAUCAAUGAAGUUUGCAAUAACAUAAAACAAAUCAGUAACCAGUAAACUUUCUGAAUUGGUCAUGUAGAAAGUGAAAUCCACCAACUGUUGUUUAAUGUACUGUUUGAAGGAAUGAAAACAUUGAAUUCAAUCAAAUUCAAAGAUGAUAUUUAAAUCCAAAGAACUCCACAAAUUUUACUGUAUGAAAUAAAGCACUUAAACAAAAAUGCUCUUGCUUUCAAACUGGUAUAAUUUAUUUUUCUUUGGAGGUCAAUUUGUCUGUUGGUUAAUUACAAAUAUUGUAGGUACCAGGAAAAAUAAUACUAAGCAGUAUGUAAAUAAGUGUCUUUAGCUAUGGCUCUAGGCUUCAGCAAAAUACAGGGCCUAAUUUCAUAGAGGUGCUGAACGGCCGAGUUUGUGCUAACUGAGCGAUUUCCAUUUACAUAGCGCUGCUUAUCGUUACCACACGAAAAAGCAUGCUUACGUACCGGUGUUACUGCACGAAAAAAAUAAUGAUGUCAAUGCAAAUCCUUGUUGAGCGCGCAAGAUGGCAGCCUGAUUUUCUUGCUAACUGUAAAAUGUGCUUAUAAAAAUGCUAAAGAAAUUGUGCUUUUGUGCUUACUGUGCGAUUUCCAUUCUAUAGCGCUGCUUAUCGUAAUCACACAUAAAGGCAUGCUAACCUACCAGUGCUUACUGUAGGAAAACUAUUUUCGUCAAUGCAAAUCCUUAUUGAGCACGCAAGAUGGCAGCCCGAUUUUCUUGCUUACAUGUACCUGUGGCGCUUAUGC